GGGAGGUUUGGCACCUCGAUGUCGGCUCAUCGCAUCCUGGGGCUGUAGUCGGUCCCAAGGGUUGGGCUGUUCGCCCAUUAAAGCGGUACGCGAGCUGGGUUCAGAACGUCGUGAGACAGUUCGGUCGCUAUCCGUCGUGGGCGUAGGAAAUUUGAGAGGAGCUGUCCUUAGUACGAGAGGACCGGGAUGGACACACCGCUGGUGUACCAGUUGUCUUGCCAAAGGCAUCGCUGGGUAGCUAUGUGUGGACGGGAUAAGUGCUGAAAGCAUCUAAGCAUGAAGCCCCCCUCAAGAUGAGAUUUCCCAUUACGCAAGU
rnacentral:rRNA from 1 species